rnacentral:rRNA from 1 species
GACGAACCGUACGAACGUUAUUCGGAAUCACUGGGCUUAAAAGGUGCGUAGGCGGCGCGACAAGUUGGGUGUGAAAUUCCUCGGCUCAACCGAGGAACUGCGCCCAAAACUGUCGUGCUCGAGGGAGACAGAGGUGAGCGGAACUUAGGGUGGAGCGGUGAAAUGCGUUGAUAUCCUAAGGAACACCGGUGGCGAAAGCGGCUCACUGGGUCUCUUCUGACGCUGAGGCACGAAAGCUAGGGUAGCGAACGGG